rnacentral:rRNA from 1 species
CACGUAGGGGACGAGCGUUAUCCGGAAUUAUUGGGCGUAAAGAGCUCGUAGGCGGUUUGUCGCGUCUGCCGUGAAAGUCCGGGGCUCAACUCCGGAUCUGCGGUGGGUACGGGCAGACUAGAGUGAUGUAGGGGAGACUGGAAUUCCCGGUGUAGAGGUGAAAUUCGUAGAUAUCGGGAGGAACACCGGUGGCGAAGGCGGCGACCUGGGUCGACACUGACGCUGAGGCGCGAAAGCGUGGGGAGCGAACAGG